GAUGAAGAACGUAGCGAAAUGCGAUAAGUAAUGCGAAUUGCAGAAUCCGUGAGUCAUCGAAUCUUUGAUCGCACAUUGCGCCCUCUGGUAUUCCGGAGGGCAUGCCUGUUCGAGCGUCAUUAUCACCCCUCAAGCCCGGCUUGUUGUUGGAUGCAGCGCUUAUCCCGCUCCUCCCAAAGAUAAUGACGGCGUCUGCGACGACUCCUGUACACUGAGCUUUCGGGCACGUACACGGCUAGAAGUCCAGACCCGGUCGCCGUCCCCCCCGCGGGGACACCCAUUACCACAAGGUUGACCUCGGAUCAGGUAGGAAUACCCGCUGAACUUAAGCAUAUCAAUAAGCGGAGGA
rnacentral:misc_RNA from 1 species